GGGCGGAAGUGGAGAAACAACACUUGCUAAAAGAAAUUCCUUUUAGCAACUCAAUAUUAGGCUUUGGAGUUUUUUUAGCCAGAGUUGUUUUCCCUCUUCUCAA
rnacentral:pre_miRNA from 1 species